UAACGUGGACCCGUAAUCCGGGUUGCGGACAGUGUCUGGUGGGUAGUUUGACUGGGGCGGUCUCCUCCUAAAGAGUAACGGAGGAGCACGAAGGUUGGCUAAUCCUGGUCGGACAUCAGGAGGUUAGUGCAAUGGCAUAAGCCAGCUUGACUGCGAGCGUGACGGCGCGAGCAGGUGCGAAAGCAGGUCAUAGUGAUCCGGUGGUUCUGAAUGGAAGGGCCAUCGCUCAACGGAUAAAAGGUACUCCGGGGAUAACAGGCUGAUACCGCCCAAGAGUUCAUAUCGACGGCGGUGUUUGGCACCUCGAUGUCGGCUCAUCACAUCCUGGGGCUGAAGUAGGUCCCAAGGGUAUGGCUGUUCGCCAUUUAAAGUGGUACGCGAGCUGGGUUUAGAACGUCGUGAGACAGUUCGGUCCCUAUCUGCCGUGGGCGCUGGAGAACUGAGGGGGGCUGCUCCUAGUACGAGAGGACCGGAGUGGACGCAUCACUGGUGUUCGGGUUGUCAUGCCAAUGGCACUGCCCGGUAGCUAAAUGCGGAAGAGAUAAGUGCUGAAAGCAUCUAAGCACGAAACUUGCCCCGAGAUGAGUUCUCCCUGACUCCUUGAGAGUCCUGAAGGAACGUUGAAGACGACGACGUUGAUAGGCCGGGUGUGUAAGCGCAGCGAUGCGUUGAGCUAACCGGUACUAAUGAACCGUGAGG
rnacentral:rRNA from 1 species